rnacentral:lncRNA from 1 species
AAUGGGUUGUUGGAGGAUGUUUUGGAAAUUGGUUGGGAAUUCGAAAUUCGAAUCGAAUUUCGAAUGUGUUGUUGGAUGAUAUUUUGGGAAUUCAAAAUUCGAAAUUCGAAUUUUGAAUGGAUUAUUGGAGGAUAUUUUGGUAAUUUGUUGGGGGUUCAAAAUUCAAAAUUCGAAUUUUGAAUGGGUUAUUAGAUGGUAUUUUGGGAAUUCAAAAUUCGAAAUUCGAAUUUUGAAUGGAUUAUGAUUUGAAAUCGGAUUUCGACUAGAUACUUUAUAAGGUGUGGGUGUGGGCCGUCGUUGAUCAGACCCACCUUAAUUUAUUGGGCUCAAAUGAUAACGGACUGAAAUAAAGGCCCCCCCUCACUUUUUUUUUAUAUUUUUUUUAUUUAUUUGUUUGGGCUUUCGUAAGGGCUCACCCACUCACAUUUUUUUUUUUUAUUUGUUUGGGCUUUCGUAAGGGCCCACCCGCUCACAUUUUUAAAUGGGCUUAUUGUAUAUUAUAAUUAUUGACCCGAGAAAAUUAAUGAUUAAUACGAGACCUAUUAGGAUUGUAUGAACUCGAAUCUAAUCAUUUUUUUAUUAGGAUUAGGAUUGUUUCAACCUAUAUAUAUGUAUGGCAAGUAUUAUUUUACUUCAAACAUUUCCAAGCU